CCUUUCUUAGGGUCGCACCUGGAGAGUUUCCAGUAUUCUACCAGUCUCAACUAAGGGAGGGAGAGUCAAGUAGAAGCAUAUCCAUUCCAUUACUAGUUUAGGCAGUGGCUGGUGAGUGGAAGAUAAUCUGCUACAAGU